rnacentral:miRNA from 1 species
UGUGAUUUCCAAUAAUUGAGGC